GUGGGGAAUAUUGGGCAAUGGGCGAAAGCCUGACCCAGCAACGCCGCGUAAAGGAAGAAGGUCUUCGGAUCGUAAACUUCUAUCCUUGGUGAAGAUAAUGACGGUAGCCGAGAAGGAAGCCCCGGCUAACUACGUGCCAGCAGCCGCGGUAAUACGUAGGGGGCAAGCGUUGUCCGGAAUGAUUGGGCGUAAAGGGCGCGUAGGCGGCCUGGUAAGUCUGGAGUGAAAGUCCUGCUUUUAAGGUGGGAAUUGCUUUGGAUACUGUCGGGCUUGAGUGCAGGAGAGGUAAGUGGAAUUCCCGGUGUAGCGGUGAAAUGCGUAGAGAUCGGGAGGAACACCAGUGGCGAAGGCGACUUACUGGACUGUAACUGACGCUGAGGCGCGAAAGUGUGGGGAGCAAACAGGAUUAGAAACCCGGGUAGUCC
rnacentral:rRNA from 1 species